GGGCCUGUAGCUCAGUUGGUAGAGCAGUCGCUUUGCAAGCGAAAGGUCAGGAGUUCGACUCUCCUCAGGUCCA
rnacentral:tRNA from 1 species